UUAAGCGACUAAGCGUACACGGUGGAUGCCCUGGCAGUCAGAGGCGAUGAAGGGCGUGCUAAUCUGCGAUAAGCGCCGGUAAGGUGAUAUGAACCGUUAUAACCGGCGAUACCCGAAUGGGGAAACCCAGUGUGAUUCGUCACACUAUCAUUAACUGAAUCCAUAGGUUAAUGAGGCGAACCGGGGGAACUGAAACAUCUAAGUACCCCGAGGAAAAGAAAUCAACCGAGAUUCCCCCAGUAGCGGCGAGCGAACGGGGAGGAGCCCAGAGCCUGAAUCAGCAUGUGUGUUAGUGGAAGCGUCUGGAAAGGCGCGCGAUACAGGGUGACAGCCCCGUACACAAAAGCGCAUGUGCUGUGAGCUCGAUGAGUAGGGCGGGACACGUGGUAUCCUGUCUGAAUAUGGGGGGACCAUCCUCCAAGGCUAAAUACUCCUGACUGACCGAUAGUGAACCAGUACCGUGAGGGAAAGGCGAAAAGAACCCCGGCGAGGGGAGUGAAAAAGAACCUGAAACCGUGUACGUACAAGCAGUGGGAGCACAGGUUUACCUGUGUGACUGCGUACCUUUUGUAUAAUGGGUCAGCGACUUAUAUUCUGUAGCAAGGUUAACCGUAUAGGGGAGCCGUAGGGAAACCGAGUCUUAACCGGGCGUUAAGUUGCAGGGUAUAGACCCGAACCCGGUGAUCUAGCCAUGGGCAGGUUGAAGGUUGGGUAACACUAACUGGAGGACCGAACCGACUAAUGUUGAAAAAUUAGCGGAUGACCUGUGGCUGGGGGUGAAAGGCCAAUCAAACCGGGAGAUAGCUGGUUCUCCCCGAAAGCUAUUUAGGUAGCGCCUCGUGAAUUCAUCUCCGGGGGUAGAGCACUGUUUCGGCUAGGGGGCCAUCCCGGCUUACCAACCCGAUGCAAACUGCGAAUACCGGAGAAUGUUAUCACGGGAGACACACGGCGGGUGCUAACGUCCGUCGUGAAGAGGGAAACAACCAGACCGCCAGCUAAGGUCCCAAAGUCAUGGUUAAGUGGGAAACGAUGUGGGAAGGCCCAGACAGCCAGGAUGUUGGCUUAGAAGCAGCCAUCAUUUAAAGAAAGCGUAAUAGCUCACUGGUCGAGUCGGCCUGCGCGGAAGAUGUAACGGGGCUAAACCAUGCACCGAAGCUGCGGCAGCGAACGUAUCACUUAAAGCGAUUCAGCGGGUUACGAUUGACGGAGCGAAGCGACGUCAAAGCGUAUACAAAGUCGAGUCGGUUUAAGGAUACGUUCGUUGGGUAGGGGAGCGUUCUGUAAGCCUGUGAAGGUGGCCUGUGAGGGUUGCUGGAGGUAUCAGAAGUGCGAAUGCUGACAUAAGUAACGAUAAAGCGGGUGAAAAGCCCGCUCGCCGGAAGACCAAGGGUUCCUGUCCAACGUUAAUCGGGGCAGGGUGAGUCGACCCCUAAGGCGAGGCCGAAAGGCGUAGUCGAUGGGAAACGGGUUAAUAUUCCCGUACUUGGUGUUACUGCGAAGGGGGGACGGAGAAGGCUAUGUUGGCCGGGCGACGGUUGUCCCGGUUUAAGCGUGUAGGCUGGUUUUCCAGGCAAAUCCGGAAAAUCAAGGCUGAGGCGUGACGACGAGGCACUACGGUGCUGAAGCAACAAAUGCCCUGCUUCCAGGAAAAGCCUCUAAGCAUCAGGUAACAUCAAAUCGUACCCCAAACCGACACAGGUGGUCAGGUAGAGAAUACCAAGGCGCUUGAGAGAACUCGGGUGAAGGAACUAGGCAAAAUGGUGCCGUAACUUCGGGAGAAGGCACGCUGACACGUAGGUGAAGUGAUUUACUCACGGAGCUGAAGUCAGUCGAAGAUACCAGCUGGCUGCAACUGUUUAUUAAAAACACAGCACUGUGCAAACACGAAAGUGGACGUAUACGGUGUGACGCCUGCCCGGUGCCGGAAGGUUAAUUGAUGGGGUCAGCGCAAGCGAAGCUCCUGAUCGAAGCCCCGGUAAACGGCGGCCGUAACUAUAACGGUCCUAAGGUAGCGAAAUUCCUUGUCGGGUAAGUUCCGACCUGCACGAAUGGCGUAAUGAUGGCCAGGCUGUCUCCACCCGAGACUCAGUGAAAUUGAACUCGCUGUGAAGAUGCAGUGUACCCGCGGCAAGACGGAAAGACCCCGUGAACCUUUACUAUAGCUUGACACUGAACAUUGAGCCUUGAUGUGUAGGAUAGGUGGGAGGCUUUGAAGCGUGGACGCCAGUCUGCGUGGAGCCGACCUUGAAAUACCACCCUUUAAUGUUUGAUGUUCUAACGUGGACCCGUGAUCCGGGUUGCGGACAGUGUCUGGUGGGUAGUUUGACUGGGGCGGUCUCCUCCUAAAGAGUAACGGAGGAGCACGAAGGUUGGCUAAUCCUGGUCGGACAUCAGGAGGUUAGUGCAAUGGCAUAAGCCAGCUUGACUGCGAGCGUGACGGCGCGAGCAGGUGCGAAAGCAGGUCAUAGUGAUCCGGUGGUUCUGAAUGGAAGGGCCAUCGCUCAACGGAUAAAAGGUACUCCGGGAUAACAGGCUGAUACCGCCCAAGAGUUCAUAUCGACGGCGGUGUUUGGCACCUCGAUGUCGGCUCAUCACAUCCUGGGGCUGAAGUAGGUCCCAAGGGUAUGGCUGUUCGCCAUUUAAAGUGGUACGCGAGCUGGGUUUAGAACGUCGUGAGACAGUUCGGUCCCUAUCUGCCGUGGCGCUGGAGAACUGAGGGGGCUGCUCCUAGUACGAGAGGACCGGAGUGGACGCAUCACUGGUGUUCGGGUUGUCAUGCCAAUGGCACUGCCCGGUAGCUAAAUGCGGAAGAGAUAAGUGCUGAAAGCAUCUAAGCACGAAACCUUGCCCCGAGAUGAGUUCUCCCUGAGACUUAGAGUCUCCUGAAGGAACGUUGAAGACGACGACGUUGAUAGGCCGGGUGUGUAAGCGCAGCGAUGCGUUGAGCUAACCGGUACUAAUGAACCGUGAGGCUUAACCUU
rnacentral:rRNA from 1 species